rnacentral:lncRNA from 1 species
UGUUGUAAUUUCUUGAAAGUCUAUGUUUAAAUUUUCUUGGAAGACCUUAAUUUUAGUUGUAAUUUAAUUCAAAAUCUAUGUUGGAAUUUAAUUUCUUAAAUUUGCAAAUUAUUUUCAAAUGUGCUGCGGGUUUGGGUUUGGGUGGAAAAAACCCGAACCCAAUGGGUGUGGGCGUGGGUGUUGUUUUGCCACCCGAACAACCUUUGGGUUUGGGUUUGGGUUUGGGUGAUGAUUUCGGGUGUGAGUUUGGUAAGUGUCAAACCCGCACCCAUGGGCGCCCGUUGCCAUCCCUAU